UCCAAGCUUAGAACCCACGCAUACCCCAUCAAGGCCAACCCCUUUCUCAUUUCGUUAUUUGCUGCCUUCUCUCUUUUAUCUCCAAGGUCUCUGUAGAAUAAGAAUUGAACACAUCACUAGCAACAAAAAUUUCUCAAAAUGGCUGUGGAGGUCUGUGUCAAGGCUGCUACCGCUGCCCCUAAUGUUCUUGGAGACUGUCCCUUCUGCCAAAGGGUUCUCCUGACUUUGGAAGAGAAGAAGGUUCCCUACAAGACCCACCUGGUCAAUCUCAGUGAGAAGCCUCAAUGGUUCUUGGAGAUUAGCCCAGAAGGGAAAGUGCCUGUGGCGAAGUUUGAUGACAAAUGGGU